GACGAACGCUGGCGGCGUGCCUAAUACAUGCAAGUCGAACGAGCGGCGGACGGGUGCGUAAUGUCUGGGAAACUGCCUGUUGGAGGGGGAUAACUACUGGAAACGGUAGCUAAUACCGCAUAACAUCAGAUGUGCCCAGAGGGGAGUGGCUAGUAGGUGGGGUAACGGCUCACCUAGGCGACGAUCCCUAGCUGGUCUGAGAGGAUGAUUAGCCACACUGGAACUGAGACACGGUCCAGACUCCUACGGGAGGCAGCAGUGGGGAAUAUUGCACAAUGGGCGCAAGCCUGAUGCAGCCAUGCCGCGUGUGUGAAGAAGGUUUUCGGAUUGUAAAGCACUUUAAGUUGGGAGGCGGUACCAACAGAAUAAGCACCGGCUAACUUCGUGCCAGCAGCCGCGGUAAUAC
rnacentral:rRNA from 1 species